UACGUAGGGGGCGAGCGUUGUCCGGAAUUAUUGGGCGUAAAGGGCUCGUAGGCGGUUUGUCGCGUCGGGAGUGAAAACCUCGGGCUUAACUCGGGGCUUGCUUUCGAUACGGGCAGACUGGAGGUAUGCAGGGGAGAACGGAAUUCCUGGUGUAGCGGUGAAAUGCGUAGAUAUCAGGAGGAACACCUGCGGUGUAGACGGCUUACUGGACCGUAACUGACGCUGAGGCACGAAAGCGUGGGUAGCAAACAGG
rnacentral:rRNA from 1 species